rnacentral:rRNA from 1 species
AAUUUUGGACAAUGGGCGAAAGCCUGAUCCAGCCAUGCCGCGUGCAGGAUGAAGGCCUUCGGGUUGUAAACUGCUUUUGUACGGAACGAAACGGUCUUUUCUAAUAAAGAAGGCUAAUGACGGUACCGUAAGAAUAAGCACCGGCUAACUACGUGCCAGCAGCCGCGGUAAUACGUAGGGUGCAAGCGUUAAUCGGAAUUACUGGGCGUAAAGCGUGCGCAGGCGGUGAUGUAAGACAGUUGUGAAAUCCCCGGGCUCAACCUGGGAACUGCAUCUGUGACUGCAUCGCUGGAGUACGGCAGAGGGGGAUGGAAUUCCGCGUGUAGCAGUGAAAUGCGUAGAUAUGCGGAGGAACACCGAUGGCGAAGGCAAUCCCCUGGGCCUGUACUGACGCUCAUGCACGAAAGCGUGGGGAGCAAACA